rnacentral:lncRNA from 1 species
AUAAUAAUGGUAAACAAAUGUAAUCAAAUUCAAAACAACUCAAAGAAAUUUCAAACAAACAAUAAAAUUCUUAAAGAAAUAUUAGAAUGAUCACAAAUUUUACUCAAAUAUAUGUCAAUUCAACCUUAAUUUAAUUCUAAUUAAAACCCUAUUGAAUUUCACUCAACUUUAGACCAAACCUAAUUAAAUCUUAAACCCUAAUAAUUCCUAAACCCUAAUUCAAAUUCUAAACAAAUCUUAAAUUAAACCCUAUUUAAAAUCCUAAACCCUAAACCUAAUCCUAAAUCAAACCCUAACCAAACCCUGAACCCUAAUCAAAAUCCUAAUCCAAAUCCUAAUCCAACCCUAAACUCUAAUCUAAAUCCUAAACCCUAAACCAAACCUUAAAUCAAACCCUAACCAAACCCUAGUCCAAACUUUAAUCCAAACCCUAAAUCAAACCCUAAUCCAAACCCUAAAUCAAACCCUAACCAAAUCCUAAACCCUAAUCCAAACCCUAAUCCAAAUCCUAGUAAUUCCUAUGAUAGAUUUAAACCUCAAUAUCUAAUGAAUAAACCGUUGAUCUCAAUUCAAAAUUUGCACACUUCUUAAAAAUCAAGUUCAAAACAAGUAAAACUUUUUUGAAAAGGAUCGGAGUUACCAAAUUGACGAAAACCUCAAAAAUGUGUUCGGGUGUUAGCCGGCCUCCUUCUCCAUUCUUGUUGCCAACUUUCCACAGCCAAUUUCUCUUCUUUGUGCUGUUUGAUUGGUUUCAAAUUUCUCAUGGACAUAGUAAAACAAGUCUAAUAUCCCUGCACACAAGUUUUAUUCCAAUCCAACUAGUAGAUUGCAUGAAAUAUUAAAAACCCUCACUAGACCUAAAAUUCUACUUUCUGAGACCUUGACUCACUUAAACCUCAAUAUCUCUCAGUUCAACCGUUGGAUCAAGCUCAAAUUCACAACAUGUAUUUAACACAACUAUAACCAUGAACCCAAAAAAAUUCACUGGUAGAUCUGCAAUAAAACUCUCGAAAUCACUCAAAACAUAAACCCUAUUUUAUUUCAUAAAACCCAAGUCAUCCGAAAAAAACUCAACUUUGCAAAGCUCUUACAAAUUCAUAUCAACUCCAAAUCACCCAAAAUCAACACUCAUAGAAACCCUAUCCAAUUUUCUCUCAAAUCAUACUCUUCGAUCUGCCAAAGAGUCCUAGAGUCGUCGUCGAGACUCGGUUUUGUGCCUCAGGGUCUGAUUUCGACCCUGGUUCAUAACCGGCCCUCUCCGGGUAUCAAUAUCUAGUUUUUCUAAGUAAAUUUUUUCUAGAAUUUACUCUUAACUUUCUUCUAAAGAUUCUUAUAUCAUUUAUU